rnacentral:rRNA from 1 species
GAGUUUGAUCGUGGCUUAGAUUGAACGCUGGCGGCAUGCCUUACACAUGCAAGUCGAACGGCAGCACGGGAGCUUGCUCCUGGUGGCGAGUGGCGAACGGGUGAGUAAUGCAUCGGAACGUAUCCUGGAGUGGGGGAUAACGUAGCGAAAGUUACGCUAAUACCGCAUAUUCUGUGAGCAGGAAAGCGGGGGACCUUCGGGCCUCGCGCUCUUGGAGCGGCCGAUGUCGGAUUAGCUAGUUGGUGAGGUAAAGGCUCACCAAGGCGACGAUCCGUAGCAGGUCUGAGAGGAUGAUCUGCCACACUGGAACUGAGACACGGUCCAGACUCCUACGGGAGGCAGCAGUGGGGAAUUUUGGACAAUGGGGGCAACCCUGAUCCAGCCAUGCCGCGUGAGUGAAGAAGGCC